CGCGCAGGCGGCGUCGUAAGUCGGUCUUAAAAGUGCGGGGCUUAACCCCGUGAGGGGACCGAAACUGCGAUGCUAGAGUAUCGGAGAGGAAAGCGGAAUUCCUAGUGUAGCGGUGAAAUACGUAGAUAUUAGGAGGAACACCAGUGGCGAAAGCGGCUUUCUGGACGACAACUGACGCUGAGGCGCGAAAGCCAGGGGAGCAAACG
rnacentral:rRNA from 1 species